UGGGGAAUAUUGGGCAAUGGGCGAAAGCCUGACCCAGCCACGCCGCGUGAGUGAUGAAGGCCUUCGGGUCGUAAAGCUCUGUGGGGAGGGAAGAAACCUUCCAGGGAACAAUACCCCUGGGACUUGACGGUACCUCCUUAGCAAGCACCGGCUAACUCCGUGCCAGCAGCCGCGGUAAUACGGAGGGUGCAAACGUUGCUCGGAAUCAUUGGGCGUAAAGCGUGUGUAGGCGGCCUGUUAAGUCGGGUGUGAAAGCCCCGGGCUCAACCCGGGAAGUGCAUUCGAUACUGGCAGGCUUGAGUACGGGAGAGGGUCGCGGAAUUCCCGGUGUAGAGGUGAAAUUCGUAGAUAUCGGGAGGAACACCAGUGGCGAAGGCGGCGACCUGGACCGAUACUGACGCUGAGACACGAAAGCGUGGGGAGCAAACAG
rnacentral:rRNA from 1 species